GACGAACGCUGGCGGCGUGCUUAACACAUGCAAGUCGAACGAAGUGGCGAACGGGUGAGUAAUACGUGGGUAACCUGCCCUCCUUUUUGGGAUAAGCCUUGGAAACGGGGUCUAAUACCGAAUAAAGGGGGAUGGGCCAGGGGCCUAUCAGCUUGUUGGUGGGGUGAUGGCCUACCAAGGCGGUGACGGGUAGCCGGCCUGAGAGGAUGACCGGCCACACCGGGACUGAGAGACUGCCCGGACUCCUACGGGAGGCAGCAGUGGUGAAUAUUGCGAAAUGGGGGCAACCCUGACGCAGCCAUGCCGCGGGAAUGAAGAAGGCCUUCGGGUUGUAAAGUUCUUUCGGUAUUGAGACGUUAAAUACAGAAGAAGCACCGGCUAACUCCGUGCCAGCAGCCGCGGUAAUACC
rnacentral:rRNA from 1 species